rnacentral:rRNA from 1 species
UGGGGAAUAUUGGACAAUGGGCGAAAGCCUGAUCCAGCCAUGCCGCGUGUGUGAAGAAGGUCUUCGGAUUGUAAAGCACUUUAAGUUGGGAGGAAGGGCAGUUACCUAAUACGUGAUUGUUUUGACGUUACCGACAGAAUAAGCACCGGCUAACUCUGUGCCAGCAGCCGCGGUAAUACAGAGGGUGCAAGCGUUAAUCGGAAUUACUGGGCGUAAAGCGCGCGUAGGUGGUUAGUUAAGUUGGAUGUGAAAUCCCCGGGCUCAACCUGGGAACUGCAUUCAAAACUGACUGACUAGAGUAUGGUAGAGGGUGGUGGAAUUUCCUGUGUAGCGGUGAAAUGCGUAGAUAUAGGAAGGAACACCAGUGGCGAAGGCGACCACCUGGACUGAUACUGACACUGAGGUGCGAAAGCGUGGGGAG